rnacentral:rRNA from 1 species
AACGAACGCUGGCGGCAGGCCUAACACAUGCAAGUCGAGCGGGUCCUUCGGGACUAGCGGCGGACGGGUUAGUAACGCGUGGGAACGUGCCCAAAGAUACGGAAUAGCCUCGGGAAACUGAGAGUAAUACCGUAUGUGCCCCUCGGGGGAAAGAUUUAUCGCCUCUGGAUCGGCCCGCGUUGGAUUAGGUAGUUGGUGGGGUAAUGGCCUACCAAGCCGACGAUCCAUAGCUGGUUUGAGAGGAUGAUCAGCAACACUGGGACUGAGACACGGCCCAGACUCCUACGGGAGGCAGCAGUGGGGAAUCUUAGACAAUGGGGGAAACCCUGAUCUAGCCAUGCCGCGUGGACGAUGAAGGCCUUAGGGUUGUAAAGUCCUUUCAGCUGGGAAGAUAAUGACGGUACCAGCAGAAGAAGCCCCGGCUAACUCCGUGCCAGCCGCCGCCGUAACAC